rnacentral:piRNA from 1 species
UCGUCUGCGAAGCCAUGGCAGCCCUCGGC